rnacentral:rRNA from 1 species
AUUGAACGCUGGCGGCAGGCCUAACACAUGCCAGUCGAGCGCUCGGCGUACGGGUGAGUAAUGUAUGGGGCCUCCCCGAUAGAGGGGGAUAACUACUGGAAACGGUAGCUCCUACCGCAUCCUACAGGAUAACCCAUAUGGGAUUAGCUAGUAGGUGAGGUAAUGGCUCACCUAGGCGACGAUCCCUAGCUGGUCUGAGAGGAUGAUCAGCCACACUGGGACGUAGACACGGCCCAGACGCCUACGGAGGCAGCAGUGGGGAAGAUUGAACAAUGGGCGCAAUCCUGAUGCAGCCAUGCCGCGUGUAUGAAGAAGGCCCUAGGGUUGUAAAGUACUUUCAGUCGGGAGGCGUUACCUACAGAAGAAGCACCGGCUAACUCCGUGCCAGCAGCCGCGGUAAUUC